CACUUCGAACAAUUUUUACAUUAAUUAGAUAGAGUGGAUUAGGCCUAUUGGGGAAACCACUUAAAAAAAAACGCGCCAUGCUAUCUACCGCCAGGUGGUGUGGAACAGAUAGCACCAAAAUACUGAGUAAUAAUAUGGUCAAUAACAUUAAUUAAUAUUAUUAACCAUAUUAAUUAAUAAUAUUAAUAAAGUAAUAUAAUUAAUAAUAAUAUUAAUAAAGUAACAAAACUUGUACAUCGAAAAGAAUUGCGUGACAACUUUCUCGGCGCGUGAAUGAGACGCCGAGAAUUAUUGUGUACGCGUCGUCUCGCCUGCCGCUGUAAUCCGAUACUCGCUCCGACCAUCGCGUCGCGCGCGCGGCUAGCUGUUACGUUAUCCACGCCUACUUCUCUCGCUGCCAAUCGCGUCCGCUGAAUUAGCGAAACUUCUCUACUUAAUAACUCGAAAUAUACACGGUUAAUUGCAAAAUGUUAUAAGACUUUUUUGUUCACCUUAACGAGAUCUACCUGCAGCAGAGCGAUUGGGCACUUUAUGUGGGACACCCUGUGUAAUGUUUCAACGGUGAAUGUGUACUGUUAUUGCUUCAUGCUUUAUUUUAUACAAAUUUUCAUUAAAACUGAUGUUAAAUUUUUUUUUAAUAUCAUUAAUGUCAUUACAAAAUAAUUUUUGCUUUUAGAUUUUGAAACGUUGGAUAUUUUUUAUGUCACAAUCCGCAUUACAAGAUGAACUGUGGAAAUAGAAAGUAUGCGGUUGUAAAAUUUUUGUGCGAUUCUUCAUACUCUGAAAUUCCAACAGCAUGGCUCUUUCAAGAAAAAAAAUGUGCAACUAUGUUGGUGGCCACCUCGAACUGCAAACAGUGGAAUAUUAAUAGCAAACUGUCAAAUUCCUGAUUCCUCUACAUGGAGUAAUUAUGAAGUCGAAAUCGUAAAAUAUUGUUCAUCUGUUGAGUCAGCUCGAAAGACUGCAGCAGACUCUAAUUAUGAAACAACUGAUGAAGAACGACUGGGUCGAGGAAGAAGGCAACAUGUUUCAUACAAUCGUUUCAGAAGCGA